AUUGAACGCUGGCGGCAGGCUUAACACAUGCAAGUCGAGCGGAGAUGAGGUGCUUGCACCUUAUCUUAGCGGCGGACGGGUGAGUAAUGCUUAGGAAUCUGCCUAUUAGUGGGGGACAACAUUCCGAAAGGAAUGCUAAUACCGCAUACGCCCUACGGGGAAAGCAGGGGAUCUUCGGACCUUGCGCUAAUAGAUGAGCCUAAGUCGGAUUAGCUAGUUGGUGGGGAAAAGGCCUACCAAGGCGACGAUCUGUAGCGGGUCUGAGAGGAUGAUCCGCCACACUGGGACUGAAACACGGCCCAGACUCCUACGGGAGGCAGCAGUGGGGAAGAUUGGACAAUGGGCGGAAGCCUGAUCCAGCCAUGCCGCGUGUGUGAAGAAGGCCUUUUGGUUGUAAAGCACUUUAAGCGAGGAGGAGGCUACCUGGAUUAAUACUCUAGGAUAGUGGACGUUACUCGCAGAAUAAGCACCGGCUAACUCUGUGCCAGCAGCCGCCGUAAUAC
rnacentral:rRNA from 1 species